rnacentral:lncRNA from 1 species
GUCAGGGACAUAAGAACCAGAAAUAAAAGAGAGAUGGGAGACGGGAAGGUGAAGGACGUAAGGAGUCAGGGACACAAGAACCAGAAAUAAAAGAGAGAUGGGAGACGGGAAGGUGAAGGACAUAAGGAGUCAGGGACAUAAGAACCAGAAAUAAAAGAGAGAUGGGAGACGGGAAGGUGAAGGUGAAGGACAUAAGGAGUCAGGGACAUAAGAAACAGAAAUAAAAGAGAGAUGGGAGACGGGAAGGUGAAGGACAUAAGGAGUCAGGGACAUAAGAUCCAGAAAUAAAAGAGAGAUGGGAGACGGGAAGGUGAAGGAUGUAAGGAGUCAGGGACAUAAGAACCAGAAAUAAAAGAGAGAUGGGAAGUUGAAGGAUGUAAGGAGUCAGGGACAUAAGAACCAGAAAUAAAAGAGAGAUGGGAAGGUGAAGGAUGUAAGGAGUCAGGGAGAUAAGAACCAGAAAUAAAAUAGAGAUGUGAGACAGGAAGGUGAAGGAUGUAAGGAGUCAGGGACAUAAGAACCAGAAAUAAAAGAGAGAUGGUAAGGUGAAGGACAUAAGGAGUCAGGGACAUAAGAACCAGAAAUAAAAGAGAGAUGGGAAGGUGAAGAAUGUAAGGAGUCAGGGACAUAAGAACCAGAAAUAAAAGAGAGAUGGGAGACGGGAAGGUGAAGGACAUAAGGAGUCAGGGACAUAAGAACCAGAAAUAAAAGAGAGAUGGGAAG